rnacentral:tRNA from 1 species
GGAGAGGUGGCAGAGUUAGGCUGAUCGCGCCUCCCUGCUAAGGAGGUUUACGGUGUGAACCGUAACGUGGGUUCGAAUCCCACCCUCUCCGCCA